GUGCUCGUUUUGGCAGCACAUACAGUAAAAUUGGAACGAUACAGAGAAGAUUAGCAUGGCCCCUGCACAAAGAUGACACACAAAUUUGUGAAGCAUUCCAUAUUUUU